UACGUAGGGUGCGAGCGUUAAUCGGAAUUACUGGGCGUAAAGCGUGCGCAGGCGGCUUUGCAAGACAGAUGUGAAAUCCCCGGGCUCAACCUGGGAACUGCAUUUGUGACUGCAAGGCUAGAGUACGGCAGAGGGGGAUGGAAUUCCGCGUGUAGCAGUGAAAUGCGUAGAUAUGCGGAGGAACACCAAUGGCGAAGGCAAUCCCCUGGGCCUGUACUGACGCUCAUGCACGAAAGCGUGGGGAGCAAA
rnacentral:rRNA from 1 species